AUUGAACGCUGGCGGCAUGCCUUACACAUGCAAGUCGAACGGCAGCAUGAUCUAGCUUGCUAGAUUGAUGGCGAGUGGCGAACGGGUGAGUAAUACAUCGGAACGUGCCCUGUAGUGGGGGAUAACUAGUCGAAAGAUUAGCUAAUACCGCAUACGACCUGAGGGUGAAAGUGGGGGACCGCAAGGCCUCAUGCUAUAGGAGCGGCCGAUGUCUGAUUAGCUAGUUGGUGAGGUAAAGGCUCACCAAGGCGACGAUCAGUAGCUGGUCUGAGAGGACGAUCAGCCACACUGGGACUGAGACACGGCCCAGACUCCUACGGGAGGCAGCAGUGGGGAAUUUUGGACAAUGGGGGCAACCCUGAUCCAGCAAUGCCGCGUGUGUGAAGAAGGCCUUCGGGUUGUAAAGCACUUUUGUCCGGAAAGAAAUCGCACUUACUAAUAUUAGG
rnacentral:rRNA from 1 species